rnacentral:tRNA from 1 species
GCCUUCGUGGUGUAGUAGUCAGCACGCUCGACGCGAAUUCGAGAGGUCUUUGGUUCGAGUCCCGGCGAGGGCA